rnacentral:SRP_RNA from 2 species
GCCGGGCGGGGUGGCUCACGCCUGUAAUCCAAGCACUUUGGGAGGCUGAGGUGGGUGGAUCACCUGAGGUCAGGAGUUCUAGACCAGCCUGGCCAACAUGGUAAAACCCCGUCUCUA